rnacentral:tRNA from 1 species
GGAUCCGUAGCUUAGUUUGGCUUGAGCACCCGGCUGAUAACCGGGAGGUCACCGGUUCAAAUCCGGUCGGAUCCA